rnacentral:rRNA from 1 species
CAGUCGCCGCGGGAAUACGUAGGUCCCGAGCGUUGUCCGGAUUUAUUGGGCGUAAAGCGAGCGCAGGCGGUUAGAUAAGUCUGAAGUUAAAGGCUGUGGCUUAACCAUAGUACGCUUUGGAAACUGUUUAACUUGAGUGCAAGAGGGGAGAGUGGAAUUCCAUGUGUAGUGGUGAAAUGCGUAGAUAUAUGGAGGAACACCGGUGGCGAAAGCGGCUCUCUGGCUUGUAACUGACGCUGAGGCUCGAAAGCGUGGGGAGCAAACAGGAUUAGAUACCCCAGUAGUCCCUGUCUCUUAUACA